AGUUUUCAUUUCUUGGCAGUUGUUCACAGUCGAAUGAAAAGAUUGGAUUUAGUUUAACUUAAAUUAUUGUCGUUUUUAAAAUCAACUUUUAAUUACAAAUUAAAUCCUUGUUUAUCGUACAGCCAUGGGACUGUGGUUGCUGCUGGCAAAUUAGCUUGGAAUAACUAGUUUUUUGUCCAAAAGUUUUUUGUUUAAUAUUGGGACAAAGAAAGCUGGCGAUGAUUAUGAUGGCGAUGAUGAUACAGGAAGAAACUGACAAGCAAAUAAAUUUGGAAAACCACUAAAUUGAAAUGAAUUUAAUGUUAUUCCGUACUGGGCAGCAACUGGAAAGGACUAAUAACAUUUUGCUUGGGACAUUAUCGUUGUUGUUCCCAAGAAGAAGGAAAGGUAAGGAGACAUCAUGUUAAAGAAAGAAAUUAAGGCGGUGAAGAGAGAAGAAAGAUGUUAUAAGAUGCAGUAAGAAAGCUUCGAACGUGGCCUGUUACAGAUACAGCUUACUCCUCUUAAAGUUUUUUUCUUCAUCUUCACUCCAAACAGAUAUAUAUCCACACCAUAUCAGGAGCAAACCCAUCUUCACUGCCUUGAUUGUUGAUCCACAACUGCAAUAUCAUCAAUUUUAUCACAAUUUCUAAAGACGGGUUUAGUUGACGUUUUUCAAGCCAAUCUCAGCCAACCCAAGUCAAGCCAAGCCAAGCUCACACUUUCCAUUAUUAUUCAAUUCAUACCAACAACUGCGAAAGCUUCACAUCAUCAAAGCUUAUUCCCAUUCAAAGCUUUGGGAUUUACUUUCGGACAAGAAUGAUGCUCCUAUUGAAUAACCUCAUUCGUUGAUGUAAAUAGUUAAAUUGGCCGAUACCAUCAAUUCAUCACUCAAGUUUCUCCAAAUUCAGAUAUUACUUGGCCAAGGAAUGUUUUCUCGACUGAAAAGCAAUAUGAAAAUUCAAUUGUAACUAAUGAAUCCCUCUUUUUGUCGUAUUUAUUGCUAAAAUAUAAUGAUAUUUUCCUUGA